GCGCCCGUAGUUCAGCUGGACAGAACGCCGGCUUGCGGAGCCGGAGGUCACAGGUUCGAAUCCUGUCGGGCGUA
rnacentral:tRNA from 1 species